rnacentral:rRNA from 1 species
ACUAUGAUCUGAAGUCAAGUGGGACUACCCGGCUGAACUUAAGCAUAUCAAUAAACCGGAGGAAAAGAAAAUAACAAUGAUUUCCCUAGUAACGGCGAGUGAACAGGAAAAAGCUCAAAGUUGGAACCUGUUUGGCCUAGCUAAACCGGAUUGUAAACUGUAGAAGUGUUUUCCAGGCAAGCCGGACCGAUAAGUCCUUUGGAACAGGGCAUCAUAGAGGGUGAGAAUCCCGUCUUCGGUCUGAGCAUUUGCCUUUUGCGAUACACUUUCAAAGAGUCAGGUUGUUUGGGAAUGCAGCCUAAAUUGGGUGGUAAAUCUCACCUAAAGCUAAAUAUUGGCGAGAAACCGAUAGCGAACAAGUACCGUGAGGGAAAGAUGAAAAGAACUUUGAAAAGAGAGUUAAACAGUAUGUGAAAUUGCUAAAAGGGAACCGUUUGGAGCCAGACUGGCUUGUCUGUAAUCAGUCUAAGUUUCGGCUUGGAUGCACUUGCAGGCUAUGCCUGCCAACGACAAUUUGGCUUGAGGGAAAAAACUAGGGGAAAUGUGGCCCAUUCGUGGGUGUUAUAGUCCCUUAGAAAAUACCUUGGGCUGGAUUGAGGUACGCAGCGAAUGCUAUUUGGCGAGUUGGCUGGGAAUAUUUUCUGAGGUGCUCCGGUACUGAGGUUGAUAUUUCCAGUUACACUUCUAUUCGCUUAGGUUGUUGGCUUAAUGACUCUAAAUGACCCGUCUUGAAGCACGGACCAAGGAGUCCACCAUUAGUGCAAGUGUUUGGGUGCCAAACCCAUACGCGUAAGGAAACUGAUUGAUACGAAUCCGCAAGGAGGCAGUAUCGUCCGGCGCUGACGUUUUAUACUGAAUUGACCGAGACAAAGCACUAAUGAUGGGACCCGAAAGAUGGUGAACUAUGCCUGAAUAGGGUGAAGCCAGGGGAAACUCUGGUGGAAGCUCGUAGCGGUUCUGACGUGCCAAAUCGAUCGUCA